UACGUAGGUGGCAAGCGUUGUCCGGAUUUACUGGGCGUAAAGCGCACGUAGGCGGAUAUUUAAGUCAGGGGUGAAAUCCCAGAGCUCAACUCUGGAACUGCCUUUGAUACUGGGUAUCUUGAGUAUGGAAGAGGUAAGUGGAAUUGCGAGUGUAGAGGUGAAAUUCGUAGAUAUUCGCAGGAACACCAGUGGCGAAGGCGGCUUACUGGUCCAUAACUGACGCUGAGGUGCGAAAGCGUGGGGAGCAAACAGG
rnacentral:rRNA from 1 species